rnacentral:lncRNA from 1 species
CCUUGUAUAUGCUCUUAAUUGUAAAAUUAUUGAGCAAACGCACAACAAAUAGAAUCUGUAGAUCAAGUGAUGAACUGAUCUACACGCGCAAGGCAAAGGUAGUGAAGACCACCACCAACAAAAUAGCGAUGUGCAGAUGAAAACGCCAACUAUGGUCAUGUUGUUGUUCAGAAAUGUUGCCUCCUCACACUCUAGCUUUUUCUGCUUCAUGCGUGUUAGUCUACAUGAUAGAGGACUAGAUAGCGAGUGAGUGGUAGAUGGAUAGACAUAUAGAUAGAGAGAGCGAUAGAAAGAUCAUCUUACAUUGUCGGACCUACGAACACCCACACGAGGGUAUCCUUUUUUGUGCACGGGAACAUUCUCUUUAAGGUGGAUGUUGCACUCACCGACAACAUCGACACCGUGUAAGUUUUUUAU